rnacentral:lncRNA from 1 species
CUUGAGGUUCAAGCCUAUCAACGACCUUCUUGAAGUGGAUCACUUGGUUAUAACCAACAAUCAACUCUUUAUCAUUUGCAUAAGCAGCAGAAUGAAGCUCAGAAACGGCAUGUUCAAGAUCUUGAAUUUGAGGUAUGUGACAUUCGAUCUCGUUCUUUACACUUUCAUACUUAAGUUGGAUCUCGUCAAGCCUAGUCUUCAAGUCGACGAUC